GACGAACGCUGGCGGCGUGCUUAACACAUGCAAGUCGAACGGAAAGGCCCUGCUUUUGUGGGGUGCUCGAGUGGCGAACGGGUGAGUAACACGUGAGUAACCUGUCCUUGACUUUGGGAUAACUUCAGGAAACUGGGGUUAAUACCGGAAAGGAGCUCCUGCUGCAUGGUGGGGGAUGGAAAGUUUCGGCGGUUGGGGAUGGACUCGCGGCUUAUCAGCUUGUUGGUGGGGUAGUGGCUUACCAAGGCUUUGACGGGUAGCCGGCCUGGGAGGGUGACCGGCCACAUUGGGACUGAGAUACGGCCCAGACUCCUACGGGAGGCAGCAGUGGGGAAUAUUGCACAAUGGGCGGAAGCCUGAUGCAGCAACGCCGCGUGCGGGAUGACGGCCUUCGGUUUGUAAACCGCUUUCGCCUGUGACGAAGCGUUGGUGACGGUAAUGGGUAAAGAAGCACCGGCUAACUACGUG
rnacentral:rRNA from 1 species